rnacentral:misc_RNA from 1 species
UCACAAAAUGAAGAUUUCAAUUCUUGAUUCAAAUCUUAAUUUGACAACUAUGGUCCUCAUAUUUUCAAAAAAAACCCUUUUUAGUUCCUCACUUUUGAUAAAGUCAACUACUUAGACCCUCCGUCCAUAUUUUGAAUUUAUCACAGAUAAUUAAAAGUGAAAAUACUUUAAUGACCUUCUACUUCUCCAAUUGUGCCUGUCACUGAACUCUGAACAGAGACUAAACCUACCCUUUCUCCUUUUGCUUCCCUAAUAAUAAUAAUAAUAAUACCAAAGCCUUCAACAACUCAUAGACAGUAGCACCAAGAGUUUCACUUCCUUAGCUACUCUUGUUGGGAAGAAAUUAACCAAGGCCAAAGAACCUUUUGUAGAAUUAAAGGUCCUAGUAAGUGAUGAUCUAAUGGAGCUAAGCUUCCACAAGUAUGUGACAAUGAGGGUCAGCAGAUGGCACGUUGUGUGGAGAAGAUAUGGAUCAGCAAGAAUACUCGGGCACCAACAGCUUCAUGGAUGGUAGCCAACAGCACGGGGGAUAUUCUACCUCUUCAUGGG